AUUGAACGCUGGCGGCAGGCCUAACACAUGCAAGUCGAACGAGUGGCGGACGGGUGAGUAAUGUCUGGGAAACUGCCUGAUGGAGGGGGAUAACUACUGGAAACGGUAGCUAAUACCGCAUACUAUCGGAUGUGCCCAGAUGGGAUUAGCUAGUAGGUGGGGUAACGGCUCACCUAGGCGACGAUCUCUAGCUGGUCUGAGAGGAUGACCAGCCACACUGGGACUGAGACACGGUCCAGACUCCUACGUGAGGCAGCAGUGGGGAAUAGUGGACAAUGGGCGCAAGCCUGAUACAGCCAUGCCGCGUGUAUGAAGAAGGCCUUCGGGUUGUAAAGUACUUUCAGCGGGGAGGCGUUACCCGCAGAAGAAGCACCGGCUAACUCCGUGCCAGCAGCCGCGGUAAUAC
rnacentral:rRNA from 1 species